GACGAACGCUGGCGGCGUGCCUAAUACAUGCAAGUCGAGCGAAUCAAUAGGAGCUUGCUCCUGUUGGUUAGCGGCGGACGGGUGAGUAACACGUGGGCAACCUGCCUGUAAGACUGGGAUAACACCGGGAAACCGGUGCUAAUACCGGAUAAUCCUUUUCCUCUCAUGAGGAAAAGCUGAAAGUCGGUUUCGGCUGACACUUACAGAUGGGCCCGCGGCGCAUUAGCUAGUUGGUGAGGUAACGGCUCACCAAGGCGACGAUGCGUAGCCGACCUGAGAGGGUGAGCGGCCACACUGGGACGGAGACGCGGCCCAGACGCCUACGGGAGGCAGCAGUAGGGAAUCUUCCACAAUGGACGAAAGUCUGAUGGAGCAACGCCGCGUGAGCGAUGAAGGCCUUCGGGUCGUAAAGCUCUGUUGUUAGGGAAGAACAAGUACCGGAGUAACUGCCGGUACCUUGACGGUACCUAACCAGAAAGCCACGGCUAACUACGUGCCAGCCGCCGCUGUAAUAC
rnacentral:rRNA from 1 species